rnacentral:sRNA from 1 species
CAGGCUGGAAUUGAGUGAUGGAGACCUCCUGACCUUUGGCCCUGAAGGGCCCCCAGGAACCAGUCCCUCAGAGUUCUACUUCAUGUUCCAACAACCUCAGCAAGCUCCGGCCCCAGCCCCUCACCUUCUCCCCUAGUUGGGGUGGACCAAAGAGCCUGCCUGUUCCCACCCCACCUGGGGAAGUGGGGACCACGCCUUCUGCUCCACCCCAACGCAAUCGGAGGAAAUCUGUUCACCGAGUGUUGGCAGAACUGGAUGAUGAGAGUGAGCCUCCUGAGAACCCACCACCGCUCCUUAUGGAGCCCAGGAAGAAACUCCGUGUAGACAAAGUCCCACUGACUCCCACUGGAAAUCGACGUGGCCGUCCUCGGAAGUACCCAGUGAGCGCUCCCAUGGCUCCCCCUGCAGUUGGGGGCGGGGAGCCCUGUGCAGCUCCUUGUUGCUGCCUGCCCCAGGAAGAGACAGUGGCCUGGGUUCAGUGUGAUGGCUGUGACGUCUGGUUCCAUGUGGCCUGUGUUGGCUGCAGCAUCCAGGCUGCCAGGGAGGCCGACUUCCGAUGCCCAGGGUGCCGGGCUGGCAUCCAGAGCUAAGGUCCACCACCAAGGCACCAUCGGACACACCUGCCCAUGAGUAGACACAGCAGCGAGCAAAUGGGUCUGAUAAAUACCCCCCUUCCCUUCCCUCCCCAGGAGGGAAUGACUACAGGGAAGAAGGGUGGAUUGAUGUGGACUCAUUCAGGGCCUGGAGCAGACCCUGGUGGCCGGGUGACAGACGAGAUGGUUUCCUGCCAAAGAUAUUGCCACCUCCAGGAAAUUGCCAGUGAGCUGGAAGUUCCCACUGUUACAAGCUAUAAGGCCAUGUUGCCAUGGACACCAGAAUGUC